GUGUUUGUGACUGUGAGUACAGGUGGUGCUAGCUGUAUGUCGGUGUGUUUGUGACUGAGUACAGGUGGUGCUAGCCGUAUGUUGGUGUGUUUGUGACUGUGAGUACAGGUGGUGCUAGCUGUAUGUUGGUGUGUUUGUGACUGUGAGUACAGGUGGUGCUAGCCGUAUGUUGGUGUGUUUGUGACUGUGAGUACAGGUGGUGCUAGCCGUAUGUUGGUGUGUUUGUGACUGUGAGUACAGGUGGUGCUAGCUGUAUGUUGGUGUGUUUGUGACUGUGAGUACAGGUGGUGCUAGCCGUAUGUUGGUGUGUUUGUGACUGUGAGUACAGGUGGUGCUAGCCGUAUGUUGGUGUGUUUGUGACUGUGAGUACAGGUGGUGCUAGCCUUAUGUUGGUGUGUUUGUGACUGUGAGUACAGGUGGUGCUAGCCUUAUGUUGGUGUGUUUGUGACAGCCUUAUGUUGGUGUGUUUGUGACUGUGAGUACAGGUGGUGUUAAUCGUAUGUCGGUGUGUUUGUGACUGUGAGUACAGGUGGUGCUAGCUGUAUGUCGGUGUGUUUGUGACUGAGUACAGGUGGUGCUAGCCGUAUGUUGGUGUGUUUGUGACUGUGAGUACAGGUGGUGCUAGCUGUAUGUUGGUGUGUUUGUGACUGUGAGUACAGGUGGUGCUAGCCGUAUGUUGGUGUGUUUGUGACUGUGAGUACAGGUGGUGCUAGCUGUAUGUUGGUGUGUUUGUGACUGUGAGUACAGGUGGUGCUAGCCGUAUGUUGGUGUGUUUGUGACUGUGAGUACAGGUGGUGCUAGCCGUAUGUUGGUGUGUUUGUGACUGUGAGUACAGGUGGUGCUAGCCGUAUGUUGGUGUGUGUUCUCCUCUGUUUGAAUAGUGGUCAAACAAUAGUGCAUGUGUUUUGAGUUGUGGUUGGACCGUGAUUUGUGCACAUACGGAGUAUACCAAACAUCAGGAACACAUUCCUAAUAUUGAGUUGCACCAGCCCCCUUUGUCCCUCAGAACAGCUUCAACUCGUCAGGUCAUGGACUCUACAAGGUGUCGACGGCGUUUCACAGGGAUGCUGGCCAUGUUGACUGCGUCCCACAGUUGUUAAGUUGGCUGAAUGUCCUUUGGGUGGUUAACCAUUCUUGAUACACACGGGAAACUGUUGAGUGUGGGAAAACCCAGCAGCGUUGCAGUUCUUGACAGAAACCGGUGCACCUGGCACCUACUACCAUACCCCGUUCAAAGGCAUUUACA